GCUAGGGACUCUCCUCCAGUGUUCCCAAGGGUAUUCCAAAAAUUCUGCAUAACACAGAAACUACUUAGCUGUUGGCAGUUUUUAAUCAUUUUUUUGUUUACUGUUAUAAUUAACCACCUACAUAGGCUGUGGGUGUGGCCCUAAAAAGACAAAACGCAAUAAUAAUAAUUAGCUGCCUACACCCGGGGUCAUUUUCACCAUAUGUUCAAUAGAUCUGUACCUCUCCCCUUAAUCUUCUUCCAGCCCAUCCUGCCUUCCCCAUCCUGAUGCCCCGGGACCUACCUUUCCAUCUCUGAGGACACUGAAACCAGCUUUUGUUUGGGGCUUUGAGGUCUUGGGAGAAACUCCUGAGUACUUUGCAAGCUCCUAGUGCUAGCCCGCUGCAUCCCCCGUUUAGCCUCCCGUUGUGACCAGCAGGCUCUUCCCUGGAUGAACCCUGUGGGUGGAGGUCCUGCUUCCCCCCCAGCUGCCUCUAGCCCAUUGCCGUCCCUGCGAGCCGCAGGGUAAAGGACCACCAGGAGCCUGGGUCCACGUGAUCACUGACUUGCCCACCUCUUCUUCUUAGACUGAAAAUGGUGUUCAGUCUACGCGGCCAGAGAGAGAGGCUCUACCAGUUCCUGUGUGGAGUACAAAUCUUCAUUCUUGCAGGGGUGCUGUACUACUAUUUUCAGGGGUCUGUGGGGAACACAGCCCCUGACCACGGAAUUGUUGGCGAAUCAUCCAGGUAGGGACCUCCGUCGGGGUCUAGGGCUGGGCCAUCUCCGUGGAGCACAAGG
rnacentral:lncRNA from 9 species